rnacentral:rRNA from 1 species
GACGAACGCUGGCGGCGUGCUUAACACAUGCAAGUCGAGCGGAAAGGCCCUUUCGGGGGUACUCGAGCGGCGAACGGGUGAGUAACACGUGAGUAACCUGCCCCUGACUUCGGGAUAAGCCUGGGAAACUGGGUCUAAUACCGGAUAUGACUACUUCGGGCAUCCGAUGGUGGUGGAAAGUUUUUUCGGUUGGGGAUGGGCUCGCGGCCUAUCAGCUUGUUGGUGGGGUAGUGGCCUACCAAGGCGACGACGGGUAGCCGGCCUGAGAGGGCGACCGGCCACACUGGGACUGAGACACGGCCCAGACUCCUACGGGAGGCAGCAGUGGGGAAUAUUGCGCAAUGGACGAAAGUCUGACGCAGCGACGCCGCGUGGGGGAUGACGGCCUU